UAUAACAUCGCCAAAACGAAACACAAGACUCGAAAUAGUUGCAAACAAUAUAAUCUAGCCGAGAACAAGAGUUUUAGAAAGCAAAAACUCCUUGAGAUAAAUGAAUAAAAGUUGUGAUCUUCAAUCUCAAAUGUCAUAAUAGAUACGGAAAAUUUGGAAAAAUACAUUUGUAUGAGAUUUUAUUUUGAAAAUUACACUACUAUUAAAAAUUUUUGAAAACUAAACUUUUGUAUACAUGAAAUGACAAAAUUAUCUAAUAAAAUAUUAAAGCUACUGUAAUAUAUUUAAGGGCAAAUCUCUAAAAUAGCACAUUUCUAAGUUUAUAUCACAAAAUAGCACUCAAAAACUAAAACGACCAAAAUAGCACCUUUCUAAGUUUAUCCUUUGAAAAUUUUAAUUUUUUUAUUUUUCAAAAUUUGAAAUCUUAUCCCUAAAAUCUCAUUUCUCAACUCUAAACCCUAAACCCUAAACUUUAAACCCUAAACUCUAAACCCUAAACCAUAAACCAUAAACCCUAAACCCUAAACCAUAAACCCUAACCCUAAACUCUAAACCCUAAACCCUAAACCCUAAACCCUAAAAUCUAAACCCUAAACCCUAAACUCUAAAUCCUAAACCCUAAACCAUAAAUCCUAAACCCCACCCUUUAACUCUAAAC
rnacentral:lncRNA from 1 species